CGGGUCGUCUGAAGAAUUAUGCGGGCGAAACCGCAGCUAAAGAACCAACCCGUAUCCCAUCUAUCCCAACUCCCUCCGUCUUCAACCUAGCCCCCUCCCUCUCUCUCUCGAGCUCUCUCUCACCACCGUGGGUCUCUAUUUCUCUCGCUCUCUCUCUCUCUCUCUCACACAGACGGUGGCGUGGGUUUCUCUCUCUUCGGCCGCAGCUCCAAGAUCAGCUUCGGCGUGGGUCUCGACUCUCCAGGACGGAGGAGUGAAAUCCCAAUUAGAUUACCUUCAGCAGGGCUUGCCAGAAUUUGAUCCCCAAUCAAGCUUUAUUUAUGUUGAUGAUGAGUGACUCAAGGCUUAUGGUCUACACAUUCUAUAUUGUUUAUUGUUUAUGUUAUGGAUGGCCUAUGGGAUGUAAUGUAGUGGAUAGAUGAAUGGAUUUGUGAGAACGGCUGGAUGUUAUAUUCAUGUUUAUU